AUUGAACGCUGGCGGCAGGCCUAACACAUGCAAGUCGAACGGUAACAGGAAGAAGCUUGCUUCUUUGCUGACGGUGGCGGACGGGUGAGUAAUGUCUGGGAAACUGCCUGAUGGAGGGGGAUAACUACUGGAAACGGUAGCUAAUACCGCAUAACGUCGCAAGACCAAAAGAGGGGGACCUUCGGGGCCUCUUGCCAUCGGAUGUGCCCAGAUGGGAUUAGCUAGUAGGUGGGGUAACGGCUCACCUAGGCGACGAUCCCUAGCUGGUCUGAGAGGAUGACCAGCCACACUGGAACUGAGACACGGUCCAGACUCCUACGGGAGGCAGCAGUGGGGAAUAUUGCACAAUGGGCGCAAGCCUGAUGCAGCCAUGCCGCGUGUAUGAAGAAGG
rnacentral:rRNA from 1 species